UACGUAGGGGGCAAGCGUUGUCCGGAUUUAUUGGGCGUAAAGAGCGUGUAGGCGGCCUUACAGGUCAGCUGUGAAAACUCGAGGCUCAACCUCGAGACGUCGGUUGAAACCGUAAGGCUAGAGUCCGGAAGAGGAGAGUGGAAUUCCCGGUGUAGCGGUGAAAUGCGCAGAUAUCGGGAAGAACACCCGUGGCGAAGGCGGCUUCCUGGACCUGUUCUGACACUGAGGAGCGAAAGCGUGGGGAGCGAUCCGG
rnacentral:rRNA from 1 species